GGUGAGGUGUCAGAGUCUGGCUUAUCGUGACGGUUUUGAAAACCGUUGAGCAGUAAAAUGUUCCGUGGGUUCGAAUCCCACUCUCACCA
rnacentral:tRNA from 1 species